rnacentral:rRNA from 1 species
UACGUAGGGGGCAAGCGUUGUCCGGAAUCAUUGGGCGUAAAGAGCUCGUAGGCGGCUUGGUAAGUCGGAUGUGAAACCUCCAGGCUCAACCUGGAGUCGCCAUCCGAUACUGCCAUGGCUAGAGUCCGGUAGGGGCCCACGGAAUUCCUGGUGUAGCGGUGAAAUGCGCAGAUAUCAGGAGGAACACCGAUGGCGAAGGCAGUGGGCUGGGCCGGCACUGACGCUGAGGAGCGAAAGCGUGGGGAGCGAACAGG